AGCCCACCCAUCAAAGUCCAGCCGGAGUCCAGACUCGCCGAGCCACGCCGACGCCGACGCCGACGGCGCGAGGGAGCAGACCUAAACCUCCGAAACUCCUCUCCGCCGCCGCACCUGCAGCAAUCAUGUCGCAGAAGAAAUCCCGCAGCCGGGGCGGGGGAGGCGGCGCCGCCGCCUCCGGCGACGGCCACGAGGAUCUCGCCCGCCCGCCACCCCUCCAGGCGGUCCUCCUCGCUGACAGCUUCACGCUGAAAUUCCGCCCCAUCACCCUCGAGCGCCCCAAGGUGCUGCUACCGCUGGUGCACAUGCCGAUGAUCGAGUACACGCUCACAUGGCUGGAGUCUGCCGGGGUGGAGGAGGCCUUCGUCUUCUGCUGCGCGCACUCGCACCAGGUCAAGGAGUACUUGGAGAAGGCCGGGUGGUCCGGUAAGUCCGGGCCCGGGAGCAUGGCCGUCACGGCCGUCGAGUCCCACGAUGCGAUUAGCGCUGGCGACGCGCUCCGCGUCAUCUACGACCGCGGCGUGAUACACGGAGAUUUUGUUCUCAUCAGUGGUGAUACAGUCAGUAACAUGAGCUUGAAGGACGCUCUCCAGGAACAUAUGGAUCGGAAGAAAAAGGACCCACUUGCUGUUAUGACUAUGGUUAUAAAGCAUUCAAAACCUUCUAUCUUGACGCACCAAACCCGUCUUGGUAAUGAUGAAAUUGUUAUGGCGAUAGAUCCUGAGACAAAGGAGUUACUUUAUUAUGAAGACAGGGCAGAUAACUCACACUUGCAUGUUACAAUUGAUAAGGAUAUACUGACCAAUAAUCCUACUCUCCAGCUGCAUAAUGAUAUGGAGGACUGCUACAUUGAUAUCUGCUCUCCAGAAGUCCUAAGUCUUUUUACAGAUAACUUCGAUUAUCAGCAUCUUCGCCGUCAUUUUGUGAAGGGCUUACUAGUUGAUGAUAUUAUGGGGUACAAAAUCUAUACUCAUGAAUUACGCUCUGGAUAUGCUGCAAGGAUUGAUAAUUUUAGGAGCUAUGAUACCGUGAGCAAAGAUGUAAUUCAAAGGUGGACAUAUCCUAUGGUGCCUGAUGUAGUAUCCAGUCGUGAUUCCUCGGAGAGUAGACUUCAUAGGCAGGGAAUAUACAAGGCAUCAGAUGUAACAUUGUCACCUUCUGCACAAAUCGGUGCAAAUUCUGUUGUUGGUAGUGUGACUAGUAUUGCAGGUCACUGCAAAGUUUUAAAUUCAGUUAUUGGACAAGGCUGCAAGAUUGGGAAAAAUGUUCUGAUUAACGGCUCAUUUAUAUGGGACAAUGUCAUAAUUGAAGAUGGAUGCAAAGUUAGUAACUCUUUAGUCUGUGAUGGUGUCCAUCUAAGAGCUGGUGCUGUUGUUGAACCUGGUUGUGUACUGUCAUUUAAGGUUGAAGUUGGAAAGAAUGUUGUUGUUCCUGCCCACUCAAAAGUUUCAUUACUUCCUCAGCCUUCAAAUGAAGAUAGCGAUGAAGAACUUGAGUAUGCUGACACUAACUCUGGAAUUGCAGAUAGUCCACCAUUUUCCAGUAUGAGGAGUAAUGGUGAUCAAGCAACUGUUCCUUCAGAAGAAGAUGAGUUGGGAACAUCCGAGACUGGCACCUGUGGUGUUGUCGGUUACAUAUGGACAAGUGUUGAUAGUGGGAUCAUGGAAGAAUGGAGACAAUCAAUUGCCCCUAUUCCUAAAGAAAAGCUUGAAGAGCUGCAGCAUGCUGUGCCUGAUGAUGAUAGGUCAGAAGAUGAAUCCAACAAUCCAACUCUACCAGAUAAAGAUGAUUCUUCAGACAGUCUGGUUGAGGAUGAUGAUCAUAUUUCUAAGUUUGAGAAAGAGGUGGAAGAGACAUUCCAACGAGCUCUGGGUGGCGGCGUUAAUCGAGAUAAUUUGAUACUAGAGAUUAAUGGCCUAAGGUUAGCCUACAGCCUUCAACAUGCAGAUUGUGCUGGAGCUGUGUUCUAUUCUGUCAUGAAGAGUGCAUUACUGGCUGCACAAUCUAGUAAUGAUACUCUUUUGAAGACAACUGCUGAUGCACUUGGCAAGUGGAAGGAUCUUUUGCGCAAUUACACCAAGACAGUUGAUGAAGAGAUGGAGAUACUUUUAAAGUUUGAGGAAAUGUGUCAAGAGACCACAAAAGAUUUUUCUCCGCUGUUUCCAAAGAUCUUGCCAUACCUCUAUGAUACGGAGGUAGUAAGUGAAGAUGCAAUUUUGAGAUGGGCGGAAGAGAAAGAACAUGCUGAUGAGUCUGAUAAAGUUUUUGUUAAACAGUCAGAGGCUUUUAUUCAGUGGCUCAAGGAAGCGGAAGAGGAGGAUGACGAAGAAGAGGAAUAACCCUGGAGUUGAGCUGGCACUCGAAUUCUUUCAUGCAUUGUGAGCGCAGGAUCUGAUUUGAGUGGGUCUCUCGUUCCCUGAUAGCCCUGCUUGCUUUGUGAAACAACUGAACAAUGGGCAGCAAAAAUCGAAGGACGAUGAAAAAACCAGAAGGGCCCUGGGGGCCAAAAGAAGAGGAAAAAGCCGGCAGGAGUAGCAGUGGAAGGUUGCACUUGCACUGCUGGGCUAAGCAAUCUCGCUGUGCGUUCGCACAUCUUCUGCAGCAUGUGCUGUUUCGAGUUUAUAAGCUGCAUACUGUGACUAGUGUGCAUUGUUUAAUGUUGGUGAUGGUUUUACUAUGACCAUGAGAAGAGAAAGCAUGCAGUUUUCCUAAUACUGUUUGACCUUUGUAAUCUUCUGGUCGUAAAGAGUUACCGCGGAAUCACACUGGACAAUUCGUCGAUAAGAGGAAUCGCAUUUUGGACU